rnacentral:rRNA from 1 species
AUUGAACGCUGGCGGCAGGCCUAACACAUGCAAGUCGAACGAGUGGCGGACGGGUGAGUAAUGUCUGGGAACCUGCCCGAUGGAGGGGGAUAACUACUGGAAACAGUAGCUAAUACCGCAUACCAUCGGAUGUGCCCCGAGGGGAUUAGCUAGUAGGUGGGGUAAAGGCUCACCUAGGCGACGAUCCCUAGCUGGUCUGAGAGGAGGACAGGCCACACUGGAACUGAGACACGGUCCAGACUCCUACGGGAGGCAGCAGUGGGGAAUAUGGGACAAUGGGCGCAAGCCUGACGCAGCCAUGCCGCGUGUAUGAAGAAGGCCUUCGGGUUGUAAAGUACUUUCAGCGGGGAGGCGUUACCCGCAGAAGAAGCACCGGCUAACUCCGUGCCAGCAGCCGCGGUAAUAC